AGAGUUUGAUCCUGGCUCAGAUUGAACGCUGGCGGCGUGCUUAACACAUGCAAGUCGUGCGAGAAAGGGGACUUCGGUCCCUGAGUAGAGCGGCGCACGAGUGAGUAACGCGUGGAUAAUCUCCCCAGAAGUUCGGGAUAACGGCGGGAAACUGCCGCUAAUACCGGAUACGCUCCAAUUUCGGUUGGGGGAAAGGCGGCCUCUGUUUACAAGCCGUCGCUUCUGGAUGAGUCCGCGUCCCAUUAGCUUGUUGGUGGGGUAAUGGCCUACCAAGGCUACGAUGGGUAGCUGGUCUGAGAGGAUGAUCAGCCACACUGGAACUGAAACACGGUCCAGACUCCUACGGGAGGCAGCAGUGGGGAAUAUUGCGCAAUGGGGGAAACCCUGACGCAGCGACGCCGUGUGAGGGAUGAAGGCUUUCGGG
rnacentral:rRNA from 1 species